UGUGUGUGUGUGUGUGUGUGUGUUGUUUGAUGGCCCUCUCCAUCUCACUUUGGCAGGGCAGUGCUUGUAGCUGUGAUGUGGCUAAACGCCGGGAUGCUAAGUGCACUCAUUGAGGGAGGCUAAUCACUCACCUCUGCAGAUUGAGAAUGGCAGCAUGGUGAUGGUUUAUAGAAUUGCAUAUGUAUGUAUGUGGGUGAGAUUUGUGUGUGUAUGUGUGUGUGUGUGUGUGUGUCCGCGUGAGUGAGUGUCCGUGUGUGUGUGUGUGUCAUAGAGUAUAUGGGCCACUGCAAACUCUCUGUAAGACCAACUGAAGAAUUUGUUGUCUCAUUUUGGGAAGGGAACAUAGAGGUCAUGAGAGGUCGUGACAGGAGUACACUGCAAGGGUUCAGAGGUCAUGACAGGAGUGCACUGCAAGGGUUCAGAGGUCAUGACAGGAGUAAACUGCAAGGGUUCAGAGGUCAUGACAGGAGUGCACUGCAAGGGUUCAGAGGUCAUGACAGGAGUGCACUGCAAGGGUUCAGAGGUCAUGACAGGAGUUCACUGCAAGGGUUC
ensembl:lncRNA